rnacentral:rRNA from 1 species
GUAGGUGGCAAGCGUUGUCCGGAAUUAUUGGGCGUAAAGCGCGCGCAGGCGGUUCUUUAAGUCUGAUGUGAAAGCCCACGGCUCAACCGUGGAGGGUCAUUGGAAACUGGAGAACUUGAGUACAGAAGAGGAAAGCGGAAUUCCACGUGUAGCGGUGAAAUGCGUAGAGAUGUGGAGGAACACCAGUGGCGAAGGCGGCUUUCUGGUCUGUAACUGACGCUGAGGCGCGAAAGCGUGGGGAGCAAACAGGGAUUAGAUACCCUGGUAGUCCACGCCGUAAACGAUGAGUGCUAAGUGUUAGGGGGUUUCCGCCCCCUUAGUGCUGCAGCUAACGCAUUAAGCACUCCGCCUGGGGAGUACGGCCGCGAGGCUG